AGGGAAUCUUCCACAAUGGACGAAAGUCUGAUGGAGCAACGCUGCGUGAGUGAAGAAGGGUUUCGGCUCGUAAAGCUCUGUUGGUAGUGAAGAAAGAUAGAGGUAGUAACUGGCCUUUAUUUGACGGUAAUUACUUAGAAAGUCACGGCUAACUAC
rnacentral:rRNA from 1 species